rnacentral:rRNA from 1 species
GUCGAGAAUCUUUCGCAAUGGGCGCAAGCCUGACGAAGCGACGCCGUGUGAACGAAGAAGGCCUUCGGGUUGUAAAGUUCUUUCGCCUAAGAACAAGAGAGGUAGGUUAACACCCUAUUAAUUUGAUGGUACUAGGUAAAGAAGCACCGGCUAACUCCGUGCCAGCAGCUGCGGUAAUACGGAGGGUGCAAGCAUUGAUCGGAAUUACUGGGCGUAAAGGGCGCGUAGGCGGCCAAGUAAGUCAGAUGUGAAAUUCCGGGGCUCAACCCCGGAGCUGCAUUUGAAACUGCUUAGCUAGAGUGCAGUUAGGGUAAACGGAAUUCCACGUGUAGCGGUGAAAUGCGUAGAUAUGUGGAAGAACACCGGUGGUGAAGACGGUUUACUGGGCUGUUUCUGACGCUGAGGCGCGAAAGCAUGGGUAGCAAACAGG